rnacentral:rRNA from 1 species
CCUACGGGUGGCAGCAGUGAGGAAUAUUGGUCAAUGGCCGGAAGGCUGAACCAGCCAAGCCGCGUGAAGGACGAAGGUGCCAAGCAUUGUAAACUUCUUUUGUCAAGGGACAAAAUCAGGCUCGAGAGCCUGACCGAGGGUACUUGAAGAAAAAGCAUCGGCUACCUCCGUGCCAGCAGCCGCGGUAAUACGGAGGAUGCGGGCGUUAUCCGGAUUUAUUGGGUUAAAGGGGUGCGUAGGCGGGCUGUUAAGUCAGAGGUAAAAGCCAGGGGCUCAACCCCGGCGAGCUGUUGAAACUGGCGGUCUUGAGAUGUCGAGAGGUAUGCGGAAUGCGCAGUGUAGCGGUGAAAUGCUUAGAUAUUGCGAAGAACUCCGAUUGCGAAGGCAGCAUACCGGCGGCGAUCUGACGCUGAGGCACGAAAGCGUGGGUAUCGAACAGGAUUAGAUACCCGUGUAGUC